AGUGAACGCUGGCGGUAGGCCUAACACAUGCGAGUCGAACGGCAGCACAGUAAGAGCUUGCUCUUACGGGUGGCGAGUGGCGGACGGGUGAGGAAUACAUCGGAACCUACUUUUUCGUGGGGGCUAACGUAGGGAAACUUACGCUAAUACCGCAUACGACCUACGGGUGAAAGCAGGGGAUCUUCGGACCUUGCGCGAUUGAAUGAGCCGAUGUCGGAUUAGCUAGUUGGCGGGGUAAAGGCCCACCAAGGCGACGAUCCGUAGCUGGUCUGAGAGGAUGAUCAGCCACACUGGAACUGAGACACGGUCCAGACUCCUCGGGGAGGAAGCAGUGGGGAAUAUUGGACAAUGGGCGCAAGCCUGAUCCAGCCAUACCGCGUGGGUGAAGAAGGCCUUCGGGUUUUAAAGCCCUUUUGUUGGGAAAGAAAAGCAGCAGGUUAAUACCCAGCUGUUCUGACGGUACCCAAAGAAUAAGCACCGGCUAACCUCGUG
rnacentral:rRNA from 1 species